rnacentral:rRNA from 1 species
UACGAAGGGGGCUAGCGUUGUUCGGAAUUACUGGGCGUAAAGCGCACGUAGGCGGAUCGAUCAGUCAGGGGUGAAAUCCCAGGGCUCAACCCUGGAACUGCCUUUGAUACUGUCGAUCUGGAGUAUGGAAGAGGUGAGUGGAAUUCCGAGUGUAGAGGUGAAAUUCGUAGAUAUUCGCAAGAACACCAGUGGCGAAGGCGGCUCACUGGCCCGUUACUGACGCUGAGGCACGAAAGCGUGGGGAGCAAACAGG